rnacentral:rRNA from 1 species
CCUACGGGAGGCUGCAGUCGAGAAUCUUCGUCAAUGGGCGAAAGCCUGAACGAGCGACGCCGCGUGUGGGAUGAAGGCCCUUGGGUUGUAAACCACUGACGAGGGGGAUGAAGGCAUUCAGGUCCUCCUGAAUGUUUGACAGAGCCCUGGAGGAAGCACGGGCUAAGUUCGUGCCAGCAGCCGCGGUAAUACGAACUGUGCGAACGUUAUUCGGAAUCACUGGGCUUACAGGGUGCGUAGGCGGCUUUUCAGGUCAGGUGUGAAAGCCCCCGGCUCAACCGGGGAACUGCGCUUGAAACCGAAAGGCUCGAGUCAGCUAGAGGUACACGGAACUUCCAGUGGAGCGGUGAAAUGUGUUGAUAUUGGAAGGAACACCGGAGGCGAAAGCGGUGUACUGGGGCUGGUCUGACGCUGAGGCACGAAAGCCAGGGGAGCGAACGGGAUUAGAUACCCCGGUAGUC